UGUGUACAUUAGAGACAAUUAAAAACAUCCAUCUACCCUCAUUCUAUUAAUACUCAAACAACACACACUUCAACCAAGCACAGACUUCUUUUUACUCCCCUCCCUCUCUCGAUUCUUUAUACACAGGCAACAAAAGCCAAACAUCCCUUGGGCUCCUCCUUCCCCACUCGACACCCCUCCUUCUCCUUUCUCUCGUUUGAUUAGCAACAAGCAAACCCAACACCCCUGUUCAUCCUUGAAGAAACGACCAGCCACCACCGGCUGGUGGUGGCAUACGGCGGCGAUAUCACAGAAGAGAGAUCGAGAGAGAGAGAAACCGAGAAAGAGAGAGGGAACCGGCGGUCAGAGGUUCGGACCGCCGGUCGGUUCAUUACCCUGGUGGUCGGCAUUAUUACCCGGUGGGUUUCGAACUCCGGCCAGAUUCAAAUGUUCAGAUUCGCUUUGGGUGGUUCAGUUUCGCGACGGUAGUCUUGUUCAACGCUGACACGUUUUUCCGGCGACUCGCCGGUGUUGGAGAAAAUGAUGAUGAUGGCGGCGUGGCUUGAUUGUUUCUGCAUCCUUCUCCUUGAAACAGUUCAUGUUUCUUUCUCAAAAAAAAAUGGUUAGUUCCUUUUUCAGUUGAAUGAAGACUGCACUAUAAGUGAAGAUUAGUUAGUUCUUUGCAUUUAAAUGAAGACUGUCAUUGAUACACGUCAGGUUUCGGUCAAACUUGGUCAAAGUCAACAGUGGUUGUUGUUCAGUCAAAGACGGGUUAACAGUCAAAGUUAGUCAGAACUGGUCAACGGGUUUGGUUUUGUCAACACCAGGUCAAACCCGGUCAACGCUGGUCAACAAAAGUCAAACAUC
rnacentral:lncRNA from 1 species